rnacentral:rRNA from 1 species
CAAGUUUCUUGCCCUAUCAGCUUUCUGAUGGUAGUGUAUUGGACUCACCAUGGCUGGUAACUGGGUAACGAAGAAAUCAAUGUGGUUCUGAUUUCUGUGAGAGGGAUGCCUGAGAGACUGGUACCACAUCCAAUGGAAUGGCAUGCAGGCGCGUAAAUUACCCAAUCCUCGACACAGGGAGGUCAGUGACAAUAAAUAACAAUGCGGGACUCUAGUAGUUUUUGCAAUUUGGAAUGAGAACAAUUUCAAAUCCCUUAUCUGAGGAUCAAUUUGGAUGUGGCCAAUGUCUGGUGCCAGGCAGCCGGGGUAAUUCCAUGCUCCAAAUAGCUGUAUAUCUCAAAUGUUGCUGCAUGUUAACAAUGUCGGGGCGUCAGUUACUUGGGAGAUAUCAUUCGGUCCUGUGGUUUUUAAUCAUGAGUCACUUGUUUUUCUUUCUGGGUUUCUCAUCCACCUGUAGUGAAACGUACCUGGCAAUUUAGUUUGUCGAGUGCAGGAGUGGAUCCGGUA